AUUGAACGCUGGCGGCAGGCCUAACACAUGCAAGUCGAGCGAGCGGCGGACGGGUGAGUACUGUCGGGGAACCUGCCUGAUGGAGGGGGAUAACUACGGGAAACGGUAGCUAAUACCGCAUACCAUCAGAUGUGCCCAGUUGGGAUUAGCUAGUAGGUGGGGUAACGGCUCACCUAGGCGACGAUCCCUAGCUGGUCUGAGAGGAUGACCAGCCACGCUGGAACUGAGACACGGUCCAGACUCCUACGGGAGGCAGCAGUAGGGAAUAUUGGACAAUGGGCGAAAGCCUGAUGCAGCCAUGCCGCGUGUGUGAAGAAGGCCUUCGGGUUGUAAAGCACUUUCAGCAGGGAGGCGUUACCCACAGAAGAAGCACCGGCUAACUCCGUGCCAGCCGCCGCGGUAAUAC
rnacentral:rRNA from 1 species